CCAGCCGUUCAUACCCAAUUCCCUUCCAAGAAACCUUAUCCAUUUCUCUUGCCUACCACAAACUCAAACACAGACAAUACACACACAUGAAAAAUUCUAUCUUCUCAAACACUCGAGUGUUUUCUCCCUCUCGAUUUUCCUUACCUGCAAAUACCCCAGCCCCCACUUCUUUAUAACUCACCCCGUAAACCCCUCCCUGUUACACGCUGAAGAUCGGCAGACCACCACCACCACCACCGUCUGGUGGUGGUGCGACGACGGAACCGAGAAAAGAAGGGGGGUGGCGGCGAGGAGAGAGAGAGACCCGAGAUGGCAGAGAGGAGACCGACGCUCACGGCGGCGAGGCGGCGGCGGCGGAGGAGUCUAACGGCGGCAGCACAACGACAGGUUCCGGUAAAGCCAUCCCGCCUCUCUCGAUUCUUUUGAGAUUAUUUUUUUUAGAUUUCAAGUGUUAAUCGACAUGGAUUUCUUAUAUUUCUAUUCUGAUGAUGACCCGAUGACGAUGAGAAUGAUGAUGGCUGAUGGCGGUGCUUGGUUCCACAGCCGGCUACUUGUUUUUCCGGCGACUGUUGCCGGCGGCGGUGGGUUUUACGGCAGCGGAUUCCGGUUCGCGUGUACAAGGAUUAGGGGCAGCAAGUGUUGGUAACGUGAUGGUGAUGGUUGUUAUAUAGUUCUCGGGUUCGUUCAGGUUUCGGCUCCGGGUCAGAUUCAGGCGACCACGGUUCAACUCGGUUCGGGUCAAGAUGCAAGUUCAGUUAAUGAAAGCUAGAGUUGGUUUGGUUUAACUUGGGUUGAGUCGGUCAAACCGAGCCAACUCAGUAUGGUUCGACCCGGUUCAACACAACUCAGUCGGUCAAACCAGUCAAACGUGGUCAAACAGUCAAACUGGUCAACUCGGGUCAACCACAGUCAACACUAGGUCAAAGUCAGUCAACGCGGUUUGACGAAACGGCACAAAGAUUCGGUAAAAUUUAAUCGACGCGAAACCUCAAAUUAUAUAGUUAUAGAUCUUAUAUUGUUACGCGACCGAGCUCGAUCCGAUUAAAUAACGUUUAUACAUUAGUUAUUAUUUACGUUUUGGCGCUUGACGGAAAUUACCUAUAUAUUGUUAGUUGACAA